GCGCGGCCUCCGCCGAGUCCGGUGCGCCGCCAUGGCAGCCGGAGCCGGGGACCCACACCGACCUUGGGGUGAAUCGGCCCAACUCCCUUUCGGGGGACGGCCGUAGGGCACACCUUCCGAACCACCCGCCCGAACCCGACAGCUAACUCGGUAGGCGGAACAUGGAAGGAGU
rnacentral:sRNA from 2 species